rnacentral:rRNA from 1 species
UACGGAGGGGGCUAGCGUUGUUCGGAAUUACUGGGCGUAAAGCGCACGUAGGCGGACUGUUAAGUCGGGGGUGAAAUCCUGGGGCUCAACCUCAGAAUUGCCUCCGAUACUGGCAGUCUCGAGUGCGGGAGAGGUGAGUGGAAUUCCCAGUGUAGAGGUGAAAUUCGUAGAUAUUCGCAAGAACACCAGUGGCGAAGGCGGCUCACUGGCCCGAUACUGACGCUGAUGCACGAAAGCGUGGGGAGCAAACAGG